AACGUAGGAGGCGAGCGUUAUCCGGAUUUACUGGGUGUAAAGCGCGUGCAGGCGGUCGGCUAAGUUGGGUGUGAAAGCUCCUGGCUCAACUGGGAGAGGUCGCUCAAGACUGGCCGACUGGAGAGCAGCAAGGGAAGGUGGAAUUCCGGGUGUAGUGGUGAAAUGCGUAGAUAUCCGGAGGAACACCAGUGGCGAAGGCGGCCUUCUGGACUGCUUCUGACGCUCAGACGCGAAAGCUAGGGGAGCAAACGGG
rnacentral:rRNA from 1 species